GUAGGUGGCAAGCGUUGUCCGGAAUUAUUGGGCGUAAAGCGCGCGCAGGCGGUUCUUUAAGUCUGAUGUGAAAGCCCACGGCUCAACCGUGGAGGGUCAUUGGAAACUGGAGAACUUGAGUACAGAAGAGGAAAGCGGAAUUCCACGUGUAGCGGUGAAAUGCGUAGAGAUGUGGAGGAACACCAGUGGCGAAGGCGGCUUUCUGGUCUGUAACUGACGCUGAGGCGCGAAAGCGUGGGGAGCAAACAGGGUUAGAUACCCUGGUAGUCCACGCCGUAAACGAUGAGUGCUAAGUGUUAGGGGGGUUUCCGCCCCCUUAGUGCUGCAGCUAACGCAUUAAGCACUCCGCCUGGGGAGUACGGCCGCAAGGCUG
rnacentral:rRNA from 1 species